rnacentral:rRNA from 1 species
AUUGAACGCUGGCGGCAUGCUUUACACAUGCAAGUCGAACGGUAACAGGUCUUCGGAUGCUGACGAGUGGCGAACGGGUGAGUAAUACAUCGGAACGUGCCUAGUAGUGGGGGAUAACUACUCGAAAGAGUAGCUAAUACCGCAUGAGAUCUACGGAUGAAAGCAGGGGACCUUCGGGCCUUGUGCUACUAGAGCGGCUGAUGGCAGAUUAGGUAGUUGGUGGGGUAAAGGCUUACCAAGCCUGCGAUCUGUAGCUGGUCUGAGAGGAUGACCAGCCAAAGUGGGACUGAGACACGGCCCAGACUCCUACGGGAGGCAGCAGUGGGGAAUUUUGGACAAUGGGCGAAAGCCUGAUCCAGCAAUGCCGCGUGCAGGAUGAAGGCCCUCGGGUUGUAAACUGCUUUUGUACGGAACGAAAAGCCUGGGGCUAAUAUCCCCGGGUCAUGACGGUACCGUAAGAAUAAGCACCGGCUAACUACGUGCCAGCAGCCGCCGUAAUAC